CGGGGCGUGGCUCAGCCUGGCUAGAGCGCCUGGUUCGGGUCCAGGAGGCCGGAGGUUCGAAUCCUCUCGCCCCGACCA
rnacentral:tRNA from 1 species